AUGGAGAUGUUGCCCAAGUUCAGUGUGAUGCCCCAUGCUGAUCCCACUGUUUUUGCGAUGGGGAUGACUUCAGCACCACCACUGGAGGAAGAAUCAAACCAGAUGUGGAAAAUAACUGUGGGUUUGGUGGCUCAACAGCUUGCCCUUCAACCUCAGGGAGGAAGCCCACCGGCAAAACCUGGUCGAGGUCACCAGCAGCCUGAAAGCCCUGGACAUGCCUGUGUCUGCCUGUUGUGGCCAUCAGCGCCUCAUGAAGCUACCCAUGAAAUGGGAUGAAAAGAAGACCCCUGCAAGCACCCCAGAGGGAGAGCUGUGUGCUUCGGCACAUCUGUGCCCUCCUUGGAGAAACCUUCCCAUGGUGCAGCCAGCUGUGAGCUCAUGCAAUCAUUUAAGGUUAAUUAAAAUAAAAUAUAUAGAAAAAAUCA
rnacentral:lncRNA from 1 species